GACGAACGCUGGCGGCGUGCCUAAUACAUGCAAGUCGACCUUAGGGGCGGACGGGUGUGUAACACGUGGGAAUCCAUCCAUCAGAGGGGGAUAACACUUGGAAACAGGCGCUAAUACCCACAUUUGAUGGAUGAACCUGCGGUGCAUUAGCUAUUUGGUGAGGUAACUGCCUACCAAGGCCACGAUGCAUAGCCGACCUGAGAGGAUGAUCAGUCACACUGGAACUGAGACACGGUCCAGACUCCUACGGGAGGCAGCAGUGGGGAAUAUUGGACAAUGGGCGAAAGCCUGAUCCAGCCAUGCCGCGUGUAUGAAGAAGGUCUUCGGGUUGUAAAGCACUUUCAGUGGGGAGGCGUUACCCGCAGAAUAAGCACCGGCUAACUUCGUGCCAGCAGCCGCGGUAAUUC
rnacentral:rRNA from 1 species